GCCAGACUCCUACGGGAGGCAGCAGUGGGGGAUAUUGCACAAUGGGGGGAACCCUGAUGCAGCGACGCCGCGUGGGUGAAGGAGUGCUUCGGCAUGUAAAGCCCUAUCGGCAGGGAAGAAGCAGGACGGUACCUGACUAAGAAGCCCCGGCUAACCACGUGCCAGCAGCCGCGGUAAUACGUAGGGGGCGAGCGUUAUCCGGAUUCACUGGGUGUAAAGGGAGCGUAGACGGCGAUGCAAGCCAGAUGUGAAAGCCCGGGGCUCAACCCCGGGACUGCAUUUGGAACUGUGUGGCUGGAGUGUCGGAGAGGCAGGCGGAAUUCCUAGUGUAGCGGUGAAAUGCGUAGAUAUUAGGAGGAACACCAGUGGCGAAGGCGGCCUGCUGGACCGUGACUGACGUUGAGGCUCGAGAGCGUGGGGAGCAAACAGGAUUAGAUACCCCGGUAU
rnacentral:rRNA from 1 species